rnacentral:rRNA from 1 species
GUGGAUUAGAUACCCUGGUAGUCCACGCCGUAAACGUUGGGAACUAGGUGUUGGCGACAUUCCACGUCGUCGGUGCCGCAGCUAACGCAUUAAGUUCCCCGCCUGGGGAGUACGGCCGCAAGGCUAAAACUCAAAGGAAUUGACGGGGGCCCGCACAAGCGGCGGAGCAUGUGGCUUAAUUCGACGCAACGCGAAGAACCUUACCAAGGCUUGACAUAUACCGGAAAGCAUUAGAGAUAGUGCCCCCCUUGUGGUCGGUAUACAGGUGGUGCACGGCCGUCGUCAACU